rnacentral:tRNA from 1 species
GCGGAGAUGGCGGAACUGGCAGACGCGUACGGCUCAGAACCGUAUGGGAAACCAUGGGGGUUCAAUUCCCCCUCUCCGCACCA